rnacentral:rRNA from 1 species
UACGAAGGGUGCAAGCGUUAGUCGGAAUUACUGGGCGUAAAGCGUGCGUAGGUGGUCUCUUAAGUCCGUUGUGAAAGCCCUGGGCUCAACCUGGGAACUGCAGUGGAUACUGAGAAGCUAGAGUGUGUCAGAGGAUGGUGGAAUUCCCGGUGUAGCGGUGAAAUGCGCAGAUAUCAGGAGGAACACCAAUGGCGAAGGCAGCUCGCUGGGACGGUACUGACGCUGAGACGCGAAAGCGUGGGGAGCAAACAGG